rnacentral:ribozyme from 1 species
UUUUUUUUUUUUUUUUUUUUUUUUUUUUUCUUUUUCCU